rnacentral:lncRNA from 1 species
AUGGCGGUCAUUCUGAUCUCUUGAACACUCUCUAACGGGAUGUAUUAAUAAUUAUUCUUCCGAGCUGUAUUUGAAAUAUGACUGUACAUCUCUAUAUAACCGCUGGCUGAAGUUUAUGACCUCCUUUGGGAGAUGUAACACCACAACUCUGAAGGCUGUAGAGGUUGAGCAUGUGUUUGCUGUUAAGGAGUGGAUGUUGCCCUUUCCAACCAUGCUUUGCAACAUUUCAAGCCUUGCAUUUGAAUUUACUAAAGCUCCAUCUGGAAAAGUUGUCAUGCAGUACAAGAAGAGGGGAAGUGACAAACAGGAAAACUAAAAACCCAUUAGCCCUGAUCCAGAGCAGUGGUUAACAAAAGUGAAAGUGUAUAGUGAAGCUUAUAGAAGGCAGACUGCUGUGGUUACUGAGGUGGAUAACUUUCAAAGGAGUUCUACCAGACAGCAUUGUAGCAGUUAAUCUUGAUGGCAACUACAAACCUCCCCAUCUGGCAAAAGUAACAGAAGUCACUAACUCCUCCUUCACUAUGCAGUGGCUAAAGGUUAGUUAGAAGGGAAAGUGGGUAUUAUGGCCUGGAUGGACUUCUUGCCAAAUUCCUAAAGAAAGUGUAAUUUAUUUUGAUAUUGAAUUGGAUGAGAAUGAUAAACUAAGAAAGGUGUCUGCGCAGUACUUAAGGAGGAGUUACAAAGGGUUAAAAAAAAAUGGUGCCAUAUGCACAGAUAUAAUUAUGUAGAUCCUUGCUUUUCCAUUGAAACUUAAGACAUUUGAGGUCAUUUAAGUCCCAGCAUGUCUAAGCUGGGAAUUUUUUAAAAUCUCUAGAACUACUGAGAUAAUAGAAUGUAGCAUACUAGUAUUCAAUUAUUUUGGUCCAAACAUUUUUAUAAUUGACUCUGGACAUUUCUGUAGAUAUGCCAAUAUUUAAUUUCCAGUAACAUGAUAAGUUGUAAAAAAAUGUUCAUUACAUAGGCUCCAGAUAUUUGUAUGGAAAUUUCCCAAGAUCUAUAAAUGUCUAGUUAUGUUUAAAGUAAAAUGCAAGAUGCUUGAUCAUAUUUGAUGUAGGCAUGUGCAUGGAAAUUUCCAUAGAUCUUCUUUUAACAUGGGUAUGGAAAUUUCCAUAGAUCUUCCAGAAACAUGGUAAAAUGUAAGAUGUCUAUUGAUAAUUGAUCCAGACUUGUGUAUGGAAAUGUCCACAGAUCUUCUAUUAACAUGGAAAAAUGUAAAAUGUUGAGUAAUAAACAAUCUAUAAAUGUUUAUGGAAAUUUCCAGGGAUCUUGCAGUGACAUGGUAAAACAAAAGCUGUUCAGUCAUAAUUGAUCGACACUUGUGCAUGGAGAUUUCCAUAGAUCUGUUAAUAACAUGGUAAAAUGUAGUAUUUUAAGCUAUAAUUAAUCUAGACAUAUGCAUGGAAAUUUCCAUAGAUUUUCCAUCAACAUGGUAAAGUGUAAGAUCUUAAGUUAUGAAGGAUCCACGCAAUGUGUUUGAAAUUUCCAUAGAUCUUCCCAUAACACGGCAAAAUGUAUGAUGUUCAGUUAUAAUCGAUCCACAUAUGUGCAUGGAAAUUUCCAUAGAUCCUUCAUCAAUACUGCAAAAUGUAAGAUGUUGGUUGUAAUCAAUCCAGACAUGUGCAUGGAAACUUGCAUAGAUAUUCCAUUAGUAUUGUAAAAGGUAAGAUGUUCAAUUAUAAUUAAUCCACACAAUAUGCAUGGAAAUUUCCAUAGAUCUUCUAUGGAAUUUCCAUAUAUCUGCUUAAGUAACAUAGUAACAUAGUAUAAUGUAACAUGACUUUUUAAUCCUUUUGGUUUAGACAUCUCUGUCGAAAGUUUUCAGAUAUAUUUGUAAAAAACAAAUUCUCAGCACAAUCAUUGUGAAAUGUGCGAUAGCCAAUUUCUCAUAUGUAAAGAACGUAUGUAUAAAUUUCUGUAUAUAGUUCUCAAAAGAUAUUCAGUUUAGGGUGUAAGAGUUGUUGCAAUCAACUGAACUGUGGAGUAGUUCUUAUAGACUAUUAAACCUCUUUCUUCAGUA